AGGGUCCUUUCAAAUUACAUAAAAUUUCCAAAGCAUAUUCACCUAUCUGUUGGAGAUGUCAUAAAACGAUUGGUACAAUAUUACAUAUAUGGUACAAUUGUGAGUUAUUAAAUGACACUAUUAUACGUAUUUCUUUUCUGAUAUCAGACUUAACUCCGCUUACUAUAAUACUCUCACCUUCUCUUUUCCAAUUUAACUUAGAUUUCCUGCUAAUGGAGAAAAAAAAUACAAAUAUCUUAUUACACAGAUUCUGUAUGCCUUCUAUUGCCCGUAAAUGGAAAUCUAACCAUCCUCCAACGUGGCAAGAGAUUUUAAACCAAAUAGAAUACCAAUACUUAAUGGAAUGCAAUUUUGUUUCUUCCUCUGGCAAAUUCAUCUCAUAUCAUGAUCAUGGCUUUCUUGGCUGAUAUAUAGAAACAAAAUUCAAUUAGAUUGAGCUUAAGAAUGGAAUAGAGGGUCUAGUUAAUUGGGCCACUUUCACUGACCCCACAGGCCUAAUAAGUGAUCUCUUGGAUAUAUAUAACCUCUCUAUUUCAUCGAUCGAGCCCCAGUGGAUGUAGUCCUUUUUCUAUGUAAUCCUUUUAUAUGUAUCUAUGUUUCAUUGUUUUGCAUAUAUGCAUAUUGCUGCAAAAUCUGCUAUAUGUUGGAAAAUGAUAUAAAUGAAUUUCUUGCCCAGCUGGAAUUAAGUAUUUGAUUUAUCUGUAUCCUAUAUAUCUCUUUUAUAUUUCGGCAAUGUAGUUGUAUCGGAAAACAUAAAUUGUAGCUGAUAUGUUUUAUUCUAUCAAGCAAGCUUUUCAAUCUCUUAUUACUGCCUUACUGGGGUUAUGCUAACAGCCUUAUUUCUUGCAGCUUUCUUGCGUUUAUUUAAGACUGUAGUUUGAGACAUUGUUUUAACUGUCACAUCCCCUUUAACAAUCAACCUGAGAGGCAUUUGUUAUCCAGCACUUAUUAUCAAAAGCAUACAUCUUCUUCGAGUCUACAAUAAUGUAACCAAUAUUGAACAGCAAAGUUUAAGAUAGAAAAAUUACGUUGAACAUAAC